AUUGAACGCUGGCGGAAUGCUUUACACAUGCAAGUCGAACGGUAGAGGGGGCAACCCCCUUGAGAGUGGCGAACGGGUGGGUAAUAUAUCGGAACGUGCCCAGUCGUGGGGAUAACGUAGCGAAAGUUACGCUAAUACCGCAUACGAUCUAAGGAUGAAAGCGGGGGGAUCGCAAGACCUCGCGCGAUUGGAGCGGCCGAUAUCAGAUUAGGUAGUUGGUGAGGUAAAGGCUCACCAAGCCAACGAUCUGUAGCUGGUCUGAGAGGACGACCAGCCACACUGGAACUGAGACACGGUCCAGACUCCUACGGGAGGCAGCAGUGGGGGAAUUUUGGACAAUGGACGCAAGUCUGAUCCAGCCAUUCCGCCGUGCAGGAUGAAGGCCCUCGGGUUGUAAACUGCUUUUGUACGGAACGAAAAGGUUUCUAUAAUACUAGGAGCUC
rnacentral:rRNA from 1 species